rnacentral:lncRNA from 1 species
AGUCUCUUUGCUAAAGAAAUUAGUCAAAGUUAAAAAGUUGUUUGGUAGCCAGUACUAUGGCUGUGACCCUGUAUGUCCUGUUGAUGAAGUUAGGUGCUGUUCUGAGCAUUAUUUGUGGCUAUAGAGUGGCGUUUUGGUUGAGCGCGUGGCUCCUGGGACCGCUGUGUAUUGCUAUCCUGCCGUUGUUACUAAAGUUGGAAUAACUAGAGAAACAAGUGGUUGGCAACAUUCAUCUCUCGAGGAGGGGUGUCUAACUCGGUGUUACAGUGUAUUUGACUCUAAACUAGUUUUACGCCAGAAUAUUCCUUUAACCACCAUCAGGGACACUUUUAAGAUCAUUUUAAAUUUCAAGGCAUCAAGACAGACGUUUCACCCAAACUUGUCAGGACUUUUCCCAUCAGCCCCUGUAACAUUUAAAAAAAAAAAAAGGUGCAAAACCACAAUUUCUUUUCUUCUCAUGGAGGCUCGUCAGCAGCAGAGUCCAGCUCUGUCUUUAGGUAUCCAGGUCAUCUGGCUAAUAUACUGACUGAGUGCUACCCCAACAAUGUCAGCCUUUGUUAACUUUGGAGGGCUAAGCCUGACCUCUGACAGUAAACACACCAGGGUGGAAACCAUCACCAUGGCGAUGGUGUGGACCCCCUGCCAGUGCCAGGGGCCAGUUGGGCCCUCAUGUCCUGCCUUGUCAACCCCUUCUCUGGUACAUGGGAGGUCCCUAAGGGUCGGAUCUCCCCCCCGCUGCCCCUUCAGGAGCUGACCCCUAGGUCCGGGACCUGCCUGGGACGAGGGGUGUCCUUGGCUCCUGGGCCUAUAAAAAGGAUCUUGAAAGAGGACUUUGGAGAGGGGUUAUGAGGUGUAACUGUCUCUGUGUUUGGAGGAUAUUCUUACGAGGACAGUCUGACUACAAAGGGGCCAAUAAGAGAGACGGGCGUAAAUCACUUUUAUGAAUGGUUACUUUUUUUUAUCGUUUACUGCUUCUUUUAGGGCGUGUGCACAAAACAAACAAAAGUACGGUGGCCCUGAAGUGCAAAAAAUUACAAAUCACAGAGAAAGCUUACAUAACACAAAGAAAACAAAACAAAUCCGGAAUAUAUAAACAAACCAGAAAAAAAAGGUAAAGUCAUAAAACAAACAAAUCUCAAAACCUGAAAAGUCACAAAAACGAGCAACAAAACACACAACAACAACAACAAAAAAAUAAAAAAAAAACAACAACAAACCACAAAAUAAACAAAGGUACGGUGGCCCUGAAGUGCAAAAAAGUACAUAUCACAAUGAUAGCUUAAAUAACACCAAGAAAAAAUUACAAAAAAACAAAUCAUGAAUAAAUUAACAAAUUAAACAUAGAAACAUAUAAAACAAAACAAAUCACGAACAAAUUAACAAAACAUGGAAAUCAUUAAACAAAACAAAUCACAAAACCUGAUAAGUCACAGAUACGAACAACAAAACACAAAAACAGCAUAAAAGGUUAAUAAAAAAAAUCAACAAAUAGAAAAAAAAUCUCCAAACAAAACAAAAAAAAAUGUAAACAACAAAUCACAAAACAGACAAAGGCACAGUGGCCAUGAAGUGCAAAAAAGUAAAUAUAACAACGAUAGCUUACAUAACAC